UUAACCCUUGACUUUUUGCGCACUUGUGUUUCCUCGGCAGGCUUGCCUGCCGGCUGGACAAUCCAAUAACCUUUUUAAUUUUCAAUCAGCGUCUGAAUUAUUUUAAUAAUUACAACUUUCAACAACGGAUCUCUUGGUUCUGGCAUCGAUGAAGAACGCAGCGAAAUGCGAUAAGUAGUGUGAAUUGCAGAAUUCAGUGAAUCAUCGAAUCUUUGAACGCACAUUGCGCCCCUUGGUAUUCCAUGGGGCAUGCCUGUUCGAGCGUCAUUUGUACUCUCAAGCCUUGCUUGGUGUUGGGUGUUUGUCUCUGCCUUGCUUAGACUCGCCUUAAAUAUAUUGGCAGCCGGUACACUGGUUUGAAGCGCAGCACAAUUGCAUUUCAGGCUCUUAGUAUUAGCAUCCACAAAGAUUAUUAACACUUUGA
rnacentral:misc_RNA from 1 species